rnacentral:lncRNA from 1 species
CUGAUCCUGAAACACUCGCACACUGAAAUUUUGCAGAUUCUUCAGGAGAUUUAGGUGAAGAAAGGACUUCUGGGACCACCAGUUUCUGGCAAAAGUCUAAAUGGAAGUCUUUGGGCAAUGGGUAGAGAUCCCUUUUUGCUGGCCUAGUACAGAAAUUUUCAAUUGUGACUUUAUCACAGCUAAAGCUGAGUUCCUCACUUUCAUCACUCAUCUUAGUGUUAAGCUGCUCAUCAGGUCUUUCUGACAUUCCAGCAACCAAGGGCACCAUCAAUGAACUUCCUAUUCCUUCAAUUGGUGCAUCUUCAGUCAUGCUGUUUUCAACAAGGGCUUUUGGACCGAAUUUACCUUCGUUAGGUUCAUUGCACUCUUUAUGAUCUUGAUUGAGCAUUUCGGUACCACAACUGAAUAGUCUGGAGUUUGCUUCAAUUAUAUGCUUCUGGCUCAGAGAAUGACAAAUUCCUAACAAAAGAGUAAUCAUGAGGCCAUACACAAAUAAAAUCUAUUGCUCCGUCUAGUGCCAAACAAGUGUUGUCUUUGGUUGCAUGCAGUUAACCAAUCCAAACUUCAGUAAUCAAUACCUUUUAACAUUUUGGGUUUCAACACAUAAAAUUUAUUUGAAUAGUUGUCUGAAAGUAGUUUGGAAGUAUAAUGGUUCUUAUAUUUUAUAUGCUUGACAAAUUACAACAUAAACUAGAUGUCAAAAUUCCCUUUAGUGGACCCUGGACUAUGCCAAACAAUACAGAUAUCAACAUAGCAUCUUUCCCUCACCGAGCAAACAAGUUCAGGCUUACCAUGUUCAUCGGAGUAUGAUUUUUCUUGGACGAUAUCACUAUGUGAAGUAGGCAUAGACUUUCUUUCCACUUUCUCCUCACAAAGCACUUCCACGGCGGCAACAACAUCCCUGUGGUACAGAGAUUGUCUCAUUGCAUGAUCAAAAAGACUAAAGAAGAGACUACAUAUGGUUCAUAACAUUGGCAACUUUAGUAAUCCAAAAUAAAAUUACCUUUCAUUAAGAUGAGCACAAUCAGCCAAAUUAAUCUGGACUGAUGUAAGUGAACUUUUCAUGUGGCUAGACCUCAAGAACCCUAGGUAAAACAGUAUCAUUCAGUUAUUUCUAUGUGAGUUAUGAGGAUUAGACAGCAUGAUAUUACACGACAUGAAGACUUAUAGAUGAGAAGUUUGAUCGCACACAAAUAAAAUUUACCUCCAUUUUCUUUGACUUGCAUGGGAACAGACACGCAACUCUCUUUUUCUCAAAUAAUUGUCUUCUCAAAUAUAAUGCCUUGAAGAGACGAUUCUACUGAGAAGCCAUCUAAAAGCUCUUGUCGUGGGUAAUGAUCCUUAGGAUAAUCUUCUGGUAAAGCAGAACCAGAUGGAGUUCUUUCACCAACAACGGCCACAAUAGAUCCGUUCUCUCAAGUAAUACAAACAUCUUUAUCACAAUCAAGGCCAGAUACAAUAAUGUUUGGGCUUUCCAGCUUGGGGUUAAGCUGAUCGUCAUUCAAAUUUGACCUCUCUUCAGAUCGGGGCAGCACCAGUCCGCUUUCUAUGCACUUGGCAGUAGCAGCAGCCUCGACAAUAUCAUUUCAGCAGGGUUCAGAAGCAACUUGCUCUACCCUAUCCUCAAUGGAUCGAUCUUUAUGAUUGUGACCCUGACGCAACACUUCAGUAUUGGAACACUCAAUCGGUUCAUCCAAGUGAGACAGAUCGGAGCUAUGGUGUACUUUAACCCAUUGUCCUAAAUUUUUAGCACUUUGUAAUGCAAGGCCGUCAUGAGGAUCAGAUUCUUUUAUGUCCCCCUUCGAGAACAGGGACUGCAGAUCCAUGAUUAAUUCUCUCGGAUUUGAUGAGCAUGUUCCAGCAUAAUUCUUCAUUGUGUGCGCAGCUUCCUCAGACAAAGCACCUUCAUUCUCAAUUGCAUCUGGCACACAAUUGGAACAAAUAAACAUUAGUUCAAAAGCAAUAGUACAAGUAGGAGAUAUAAGCAUCUAAAUAAUACUGACCUACUCUACAUACAAUUUUCUCCCCACACGUUGAGGACCCAUCAAGAGAUGUUUGCAUUGAGAAGCCAUCUAAAACCUCAUGUUUAUACUCCUUGGACAAAUCUUUUGAUACACCAGAACCAGAUGGAGUUAUUUCACCAACAGAUCCACUAUCGAAAAUGUUACCAAUAUCCUUAUUGAAGUAAAGGCCAGAUUCCACAACUUUUGCUCCCUCCAGGUUAGGGUUAAGUUCUCCAUCUCUUAAAUUUGAUCUUUCUUUACCUGAGAGUAGUACAAUUCCCCUUUCUACGUUCUUGGCAGAGGCAUCCUCAAUAAUAUCUUCUGUGUCAUCGCUGCAUUGAUCAUUCUGACCUUGAUGUAGCACAUCAGUAAUGUAACCCAAACAUAUCUCAUAGUUGCAUGAUCAAAAAGACUAAAGAAGAGACUCCAUAUGGUUCAUAACAUUGGCAGCUUUAGUAAUCCAAAAUAAAAUUACCUUUCAUUAAGAUGGGCACAAUCAGCCAAAUCAAUCUGGACAGAUGUAAGUGAACUUUUCAUGUGGCUAGACCUCAAGAACCGUAGGUAAAACAGUAUCAUUCAGUUAUUUCUAUGUGAGUUAUGAGGAUUAGACAGCAUGAUAUUGCACGACAUGAAGACUUAUAAAUGAGAAGUUUGAUGGCACACAAAUAAAAAUUACCUCCAUUUUCUUUGACUUGCAUGGGAACAGACACGCAACUCUCUUUUUCUUCAUGUCUGCUGAGGUCUUGCAGAUUAGACUUUUCAGUACUUCCCUCUGAGAAAAGAGACUGCAGGUCCAUGACUAAGUGUCUAGGAUCUACGGAGCUAGUUCCAGUAUAAUUCUUCAUUCUGCACACUGCUUCCUCAGACAAAGCACCUUCAUAUUUAUUAUCAGGAGUUGCUAAACUUGAUGAAGGAUUGUCAAUUGCUGAUACAUCAUUUUAAAAAAUACACAUUAACUGAUAACUAAUAAUGUAAGACAUCUUCAGGUUCAUAAACCUCAUGAAGUUACUAACCUGCUACACCAGAAACGAUUGUCUUCUCAAAUAUAAUGCCUUGAAGAGACGAUUCUACUGAGAAGCCAUCUAAAAGCUCUUGUCGUGGGUAAUGAUCCUUAGGAUAACCUUCUGGUAAAGCAGAACCAGAUGGAGUUCUUUCACCAACAACGGCCACAAUAGAUCCAUUCUCUGAAGUAAUACAAACAUCUUUGUCACACUCAAGGCCAGAUACAAUAAUGUUUGGGCUUUCCAGCUUGGGGUUAAGCUGAUCGUCAUUCAAAUUUGACCUCUCUUCAGAUCGGGGCAGCACCAGUCCGCUUUCUAUGCACUUGGUAGUAGCAGCAGCCACGACAAUAUCAUUCCUGCAGGGUUUAGAAGCAACUUGCUCUACCCUAUCCUCAAUGGAUCGAUCUUUAUGAUUGUGAUCCUGACGCAGCACCUCAGUAUUGGAACACUCAAACGGUUCAUCCAAGGGAGACAGAUCGGAGCUAUGGUGUACUUUAACCCAUUGUCCUAAAUUUUCAGCACUUUGUAAUGCAAGGCCGUCAUGAGAAUCAGAUUCUUUUGUGUCCCCCUUCGAGAACAGGGACUGCAGAUCCAUGAUUAAUUCUCUCGGAUUUGAUGAGCAUGUUCCAGCAAAAUUCUUCAUUGUGUGCGUAGCUUCCUCAGACAAAGCACCUUCAUUCUCAAUUGCAUCUGGCACACAAUUGGAACAAAUAAACAUUAGUUCAAAAGCAAUAAUACAAGUAGGAGAUAUAAGCAUCUAAAUAAUACUGACUUACUCUACAAACAAUUUUCUCCCCACACGUUGAGGACCCAUCACGAGAUGUUUGCAUUGAGAAGCCAUCUAAAACCUCAUGUUUAUACUCCUUGGACGAAUCUUUUGAUACACCAGAACCAGAUGGAGUUAUUUCACCAACAGAUCCACUAUCGAAAAUGUUACCAAUAUCCUUAUUGAAGUAAAGGCCAGAUUCCACAACUUUUGCUCCCUCCAGCUUGCGGUUAAGUUCUCCAUCUCUUAAAUUUGAUCUUUCUUUACCUCAGAGUAGUACAAUUCCCAUUUCUACGUUCUUGGCAGAGGCAUCAUCAAUAAUAUCUUCUGUGUCAUCACUGCAUUGAUCAUUCUGACCCUAAUGCAGCACAUCAGUAUUGUAACCGAAACAUAUCUCAUAGUUAUCAUUGGCAGGAGAGUGCAGUGCACUGCUCAGUACAACAUCAGUAAUACCAUAUGCAUUGCCAUCUGCAGUAGGUUAUGUAUAAAAAAUAUAGUCAAAUGUAAAAUAUAUCCAAGCAUGCUUUAAGUCUUGAGAGACCACUAAUUUUCUAUAUAAAGAACAAAGGUCUACAACUGUAGAAUCAAUAAAGGAUGUACCUGACCCAUUGACAUUUGUUUUCUCAGAUGAAGCUUUAAAAUCUUCAGAAUGGACAAACUUUUUGCUUCUUUCACCCUCAGAAGCCACUUCCUCGAAAUUAAUGAUCCUACAAAAUUGGUUUCCCAUCUUAAAAUAUUCAACACAUACCAUUUCCCAUAACAUAUGAACUUUUAGUGGUAGCAUGAAAAACAUGCUUACUCCUUUUUGUGCUUUGCAUCCAAUGAAAAGACCGACAGGACCCGUUUUUCAUCAAGGUUAGCCUCUGGUAAUCCUAUAAAAAUGAACAGUUCUUAUGGGUACCUUUUAAAUGGCAGGAAAUACCUUAUUUCCCUACGUUUAGAAGAAUCCAAGGAAAUUAUGGAGGAGCGUAGUAUAGAAGGGAGGGGAAAAGUGUGAUGUCUAUACCUUCCAUUCCAUUAUCUUGUUGGGAUGUUUGCGCACAAUCAUCAUUUUUGGAAAUACCUUCUUCAGUAUCAUCAUGUGAAUAAGGCUCAGACACAUGAGUAUUUUCGAGAGCAGACUUGACAUGGCAAUCUUUUGAAUCAUCAAAUCCAUUUUUAGUAUGAGCUGUCACAGAAUUCAUAGAUUCAUCUAUGUUUUCCUAUGAGAACGAAGACUCCAGGACAAAUGGUGAUUGUUCUUCACUUGAUAGAGAUCUCGUGUUCUUUGGUAGCAAUGAUGUUUCCUCAGGCAAACCACAUUUAUGUUUACAUUCUGGUGUUGUUGAACAUGGUGAAGGUUUCUUGAGGUCACCUGAGACACAUUUAUGUAUUAUUCUCAAACAACACUUAACAAAUAGUACAACAGGAACUGAUACACUCACUAUUCCAAAAAAAGGAAAGAAAGAUACACUCACUAUCGACUUAUCCAGCUAUCAUAGAAAUGGAUGCUUACCUUCUUUCACAUCACCCUGUUGGGCCAGAAUUGUAGCUUGUUCUUCAAGAUUAUCUGCAACAAGCCUUCCGUUCUUUUCAGUAAUGCUACAACCUGAUUCCGUACCAGAACCAGCAAGUUCAUCGUUUAACUUCAUGUUUAGGUCAGUCUUGGCAAGAACAUGCUGAUCAUUAAUUUUCUCCUGAGUAAAAUCUUCUGAGAAAGGGGAAAGGAUAGAUUAAAAAAAAGAUAAGUGGCCAAUUAACAUAAGAAACUCUUAUGGAGAAUUAAUACCUUCUUCAACACCUUCAUCAACAUCAAGUUUCUUGUCAGCAUCACAUUCACCCUCACAAGCCACUUCCUCAGGAUUAAUGACCCUACAAAUUGGAUUUCCAAUCUUAAAAUGAUCAAACACAUACCAUUCCUAUAACAUAUGAACUUUUAGUGGUACCAUAAAAAAAAAUGCUUACUCUAUGUGCUUUGCAUCCAACGAAAAGACUGACAGCACCCGUUCUUCAUCAAGGAUAGGUUUUCGUAAUCCUAAAAAAAUGUACAGUUAUUAUGGGUACCAUUUAAAUGGCUGGAAAAGGCCUCACUGAUAUAGGUUUGGAGGAAGCCAAGGAAAUUAUGAAGGUGGAAAACUAUAGAAGAGGGGGACAAAAUGUGAUGUCUAUACCUGCCAUUAUAUGAUCUUUCCGGGAUGUAUGCAUACAAUCAUCAUUUUUGGAAAUACCUCCUUGAGUAUCAUAGUGUGAAAAAGGUUCUGACACAUGAGUAUUUUCGGGUGCAGAUUUGACCUGGCAACCUUUUGAAUCAUCAAAUCCAUUUUCAGUAUGAGCUGUUGCAGAUGCAAGUGCACCAUACCCCACAGAUUUAUCUAUGCUUUCCUGUGAGAACAAAGACUCCAGGCCAAAUGGUGAUUGUUCUACACUUGGUAGAGAUGUCGUGUUCAUUGAGGGCAAUAUUGUUUCCUCCGUCAAAUCACAUUCAUGCUUACACUCUGGUGUAGCUGAACAUAGUGAAGGUUUCUCGAGGUCACCUGAGACACAUUUAUACAUUAUUUGCAAACAACACUUAACCCGAUAUUACAACUAGAACUGAUACAACACUAUUCACUUAUCCAGCCAUCAUAAAAUGGAUGCUUACCUUCUUGCCAAUCGCCCUGUUAGACCUGAAUUGUAGCCUGUUGAUUAAGAAUAUCUGCAACAAGCCGUCCGUUCUUUUCAGUAAUGCUGCAACCUGAUUCUGUACCAGGACCAGCAAGUUCAUCGUUUAACUUCAUGUUUAGGUCAGUCUUGGCAGGAUCAUGCUGAUCAUUACUUUUCUCCUGAGCUAAAACUUCUAAGAGAGGGCAAAGGAUACAUUAAAAAAAUAUAAGUGACCAAUCAACAUCAAAAACUCUUUAUGUAGGAUUCACACCUUCUGCAACACCCUCAUCAACAUCUAGUUUCUUGUCAGCAUCACAUUCAGUAGGUUGCACAUCCUCAUCUUCCAGACAAUCAGAUCGCACAUAGAAACCAGGUGUUACAGGGGUGCUAGGUUUGUUUCCACCAUCCAUUUCUACAGUAGUGUUUUCUGCAUUUCUGGAAUAGCUUUCUUUGCCCCCUUCUGCAAACAUUAACUCAAGGUCAAAUGAUGAAGGUCUUCCAUCUGAUGAACAUCCCUUAUCAGCAUUCAGUACUGGAACUGGAAGACUAGUAUCAUUAGCAGCACCUUCCAAGUGCAGAAUUGUCGAAAGAGGGUUCCCUAUGCUGCACCUGCUGGGACAUUCCUCCAGAUCAGCAGGUCGAAUGCUUUCUUCAGCAACUGCAUUGUAGUGAAUUUCUGGAUUAGUAUAUGAUUCUGAUAUUAGCACGGCAGCUUCAGAAAUUGAUGAAUCAUACUAUAGCAUUAGAAAAAAACAAAGACCACUGGCCAAAUUUUUUUGCAGUCAGAAGGGCAAUCAUUGUCGAUGAGUUACACAAGAACUAGACGUUGUGCUCACUCAGAAUAGAAAAAAUAAAUAGAUCAGAUAGUUAUAAGAGAACAAACAAUAAUGAACCAUAGGCCUAGUUGUGUCUACUGUCAACUGAGUUCAAUAUGCACUAGUCAUGUGUCUACUGCCAACAGAGUUCAGAAUUCUUCAGUUGUUAUCCAUUUCGAUGUUUCAAUUUUGCUCCAUUGGUGAUAGUUAACAUGGUUUUAGCAGUAGCACUAAGCCACUAACGUAUCUGAACAAAUGGCACAAUUCUGCAUAUUUUUUCUAUUCUCCUCAAUCGAGAAAGCCAUAGGCAAAACAUCUCGAGAUUUUGCAAGUUUAAUGUAGUGAAUUGAAAAUCAUGUAACAAGAUGAGUAAGUAGUACAAGAUCUUUAGGAAAAACAGUGAAGAAAUUACAAGGCAGGUUUUGAAUUUUGACCAUCCAAUCAAAUUGAAGAUGCAAGUACCAAUUAGCUGGCACAGGUCAAUUCAGCUGUUUAACAUACAUAUUAUCUUUUAAGUCAGUAAGUAGUUAUGGAUAGAGGAUUAAUCCAGUAGUACCUUUAUUAGUCUCUUCAGCUAUUACGUCAGUAUCAUGUUGCAGACUUUUGGCGUGGAGACCAAUGGACAUGACGUUAGCAAGGUUCUUUUUCCCAGGCUCACUUGAAUUUGCUUCCAAGCCAACUCUCCCUUCUUCGGAUAUAGAGCUUUGCCAUUCAUGAUCUCCAACAAUCAAAUCAAUUGAUAAACCAUUUGGUGAUUUUGCAAUGACAAAGACUGCCUUUCAGUAUAUAGCAAGACAGUAAUGGGCAAAGGGCCAAAACUAAUUAUGACAUCACAAAAUCAAUAAGGUAGUUAUAUGCCAGCUUUUGAGCAUACAAAGAAGAUCAAUAAAAUAUAAUUGUGAUGAUGAUUGUCUACAACAGAUAAAUUGAACAUAGAUAAAGCCUAUAAAUUUGGCAACACAGAAAUAAAUUAACUAGCAUGUCAUUUGCACCCAUGUUAACCUCACCUUUGCUCACCAAUGAUUUGUCCUCUGAGAUAUCAACAUUGUGUACGACUAGUCCAGCGAUACAAAAUGAUUGGUCUAAUUCCCCACUUGCCUGAAUGUCAGAAUGUUCCUGCUUACUCUUAUCUGAAUUUUCAUUUGCAUUGUCACCAGAUUCUGACACAGGUAUCACCACAGGUACACUCUGCGCUGUGAAAAUUUCUUCAGUGAGUGUCACUGUUACAAGCAAUGGUCCAGAAAAGUGCUCUUGUCUUGUGGCAUUAACCUGACCAAAUUCUUGAACUCUACUACCAGAUUCCUUAUACUCAUAAGUAGCUUUGUGUGCAUCCUUUGUUGGUUUCCUGAUAAUUAUGUCAUCAUUUGCCUCCUUGACUGACUUCACUUCUUCUGAAGCAGUUGUUCAUCUCCUCUUUGAAUACCUUCCCUUUAAAGUUGUAGAAAUUGAUGCCUGCUGUGUUCCCCCUGUGUUAUCUUUUUCAUUUGGGAUUGGUGUGAUCUGCUGAUUCUUGAAUUUCUCUCCAUCAAAAUCUUCAAUCUUCCAGGAAUCAUUAGCUGAAGAGGAUAUUUCCAGUGAAGACCUUCUGUGCUUCCUCAAUUUCAAGCCCUCUUCACCAACUCUUUCCAGUUCCCGUGCAACUAUUUCAGUGUGAUCCAUGCUCGCCUUUUCAACUUCAUUAAGAGCAACAGAUUUAUGUGUUGAUCUCCUCAUAGGAUUUUUUGACAUCUUUUCCUCAUGAAGACCAUUACUUGGUUCCUUAAGCGGCACUGCAGCAACAGAUCGCUUUGAUCGCUUAAUAGGUUCCUUUACUUUCUGGUGCCUCUAAUCAUCUUUACAUUUAACACUUUGAAAGUUCUCCUUUCUCGCCAAUUUACUAUGAUCUUGGUUCUCCUCAUGAAGCACAUUAGGAAGAACAGACUUCCGUGUUGAUCUCCUAACAUUCAUCUCAGCAUACAUUUGUGCUGCUAGAAGUCCACUAUUCUUCCCAAGCAUAUCAGGUAGAACAGAUUUACGUGAUGAGCGCCUAAUAGGUUGCUUGACAACAAAUUGCUUCUCCACACCUUUGCCCUUAGCAUUUUCAGUUCCUUCGCCAGCAGCUUUAAUAUCUUUAACUGGCAUUACAGGUUUCCGCAUUGAUCUCCCUUCAUGUGCUUCCAUAUUCUUUCCUGUGAUGAGACCCUUCUCUUUCUCAUGCAAUUCUGAGACAACGGAUUUACGUCUCGAUCGCCUGACAGACCCUUUAGUUGCUGGUUGCUUCACCACAUCUUCACUAUUAGUAUUAUGAAUCUUUUCACCAAUAACAUUAAUAUUUUUAACCGGCACAAUUGAUUUCCUCAUUGAUCUCCUACCAUGUGCUUCAGGGUUCUUUUCUUCAACUAGAUCAUUCUCCUCUUUCUCAAGUGUAGCUAGGACAACAGAUUUACGUGUUCAUCGCUUAAUCGGUUCUUUAACUUCUAGCUGCUUCUCCACAACUUCAGAAUGAUUUCGUCUACCUGAUCGCCUCAAUAGGGGAGCCUUAUUGGGAGCAACAAUUUGUUCUUGAUUUUUGUCCUCCAUAGAAGAUGAAACCUGUUGAUGCCUACGAGUAGGUGGCCUACUGGGUUGCGUCUUGUUUUCCAACUGCCUGGCAGUGUGAGUUUCAUCCACCGUACUGUUGUUAACUUGAACAACUCUAUUCCUCAAAGACCUGGUGACAGAAGCAUCAUUUCUAGGCACAUCUGAGACUGUAGGCAGCUCUAAAUUUGCUCGUGCAUCUCCAGUCUUCCUCCUCCUCUUGUUCACAACGACAAUGGGUGACAUUACAACAGGUGCUGUUGCACGAGAUCUUGUAAUCCUAGCUGUUACUUCCACCUGAGCCAAAUUCUACACAUCAGGCUCACUGUCUUGAGCCUCAGCAGCAAGUUUACUACCACCAACAGCUACUUUGCCCCUCCCUCUCUUCUUCUCGACAACAGGAGGCAACACAGCAGCAGGCCCUGCCAAGCUUGACCUUCUUGUCACUCUAGACAAAACUCCAACCUGAGCACCGAUAGCAACAGCCUCAUCAUUCUCCUGGUCCUUGCGCUUGCGCUUCCUAUCAACAGCAACAACCUCUCCUGCUUCCUCAGCCUCGGCAGCAUAUAAGGAGUUCCUCCUGGACCGCCUCACCGGGACAUCUGCGACCACAAACGAAUUCCUCCUGGACUGCCUCACCGGGACAUCUGUGACCACCUCUGCAGAAAUACUAUCUUCAGCAGCAGCAGAAUCAGUACCAGCUUGAGUAGACUUUCCCCUUGUCUUGACAACAAUCGGUAACCAGAUGACCCGAGACCUCAGUCUCCUUGUUUUCCCUUCCUUUGCCGCAAAAGUAACCUUCUUCGCCUCAGCAGCAUCUCGGCCUAUUUGCUUCAGACACCCCUUCCUCGCUGGCACUCUGGCCACCUCCUGCUCCGCACGAGUGGCCCCCUGCAACAACGAGGGGAAUCAACCCAACAACAACAUUAGAAGGAGCAACACCGCCAAACAUUCCCAUAAAAAAACCAAAUCGAAUGAGCGGAGCAUUUCCACAAGCACUUGGCGGCUCGACGAGCAUUUCACUGCCUUACGGGGGUAGCGUGUUCGUGUACUUACCAAGAGCACGGCGUCGAGACGGGCGACGAGGUCGGCGUUGGAGCCCCCGGCGGGGAGGCCAUGCCUCUUGGAGAGCGCCUGGAGCUCCCGCCGCUUCAUCCCCGCGUGAUCCAUCCCUCGCACACCUCCAGCCCGCGGGAGAUCACCACCGCCUGGCCAUCUCUUCCUCUCUGAGUCUCCUGUGGCUCAGAUUCGAAUUGGCCGGCGGCGAGGCGCGACGAACUGCUCUACUAUUUCGGCGGGACGGCGCGGCCGAGAUGGCAUUUUUUUUCUUUUUUGUUUUUUUGGGCUCGCCCCUUUCGGGAGCGGGUUGAAAUGGGCACGCGGCUGGCGGUGGAGGUGGGUGGGCGCGUGGCGGCUCCUCGGGUGGGGGAUCAGACCUAUUUCCAUUUCUGACUGUUCAAUUUCUACAGCUUCAAGCACAUUUCUACGGGUGCUCCAACGAGGACUAGUGGAGAGUGGUGACUCUCCGAUACCUCGGCAAAACAUCGCCGAGCACUUUCUUCCACUACUCCUUUACUUUCUAGCUUUUACUUUGUGUUUUUACAUUCUUAGAAUUGCCUUGCUAGAAUAGGAUUGGAACUAGGUUGCAAAACUUUUAUCCGGUAGCUCUCUAAGUCACACUAGGCACAAGGGGUUGAAUUGGAGCUUAUAGGUUGCUUAAAUUUUUAAAGAAGCCCAAUUCACCCCCCCCUCUUGGGCAUCUUGAUCCUUUCAUACAGCUUCAAGCACAUUGCUAGCAUUGGUUUGGUCUUCAUUAUUUUGAUUGAAUUCCUCAUGAUCCUGAUUGAGCGUUUCAAUAUUACAAGUCACUUGCAUACUGGUGCUUUCAUUCACAUGCUGCUGGCAAGGCCCUGACAUAGGUAAAGCUAGAAUGAGAGAAUACAAAGAAAAUUACAGAUAACUUUGUUGAAGUCUAUGUAUGAGUCAAGAAUAUAUAAGAAUGAAAACAUUAUUACCAACCUGAUCCUGAAAGACUCGCACGCUGAAAUUUUGCAGAUUCUUCAGGAGAUUUAGGUGAAGAAAGGACUUCUGGGACCACCUGUUUCUGGCAAAAGUCUAAAUGGAAGUCUUUGGGCAAUGGGUACAGAUCCCUUUUUGCUGGCCCAGUACAGAAAUUUUCAAUUGUGACUUUAUCACAGCUAAAGCUGAGUUCCUCACUUUCAUCACUCAUCUUAGUGUUAAGCUGCUCAUCAGGUCUUUCUGACAUUCCAGCAACCAAGGGCACCAUCAAUGAACUUCCUAUUCCUUCAAUUGGUGCAUCUUCAGUCAUGUUUUCAACAAGGGCUUUUGGACCGAAUUUACCUUCGUUAGGUUCAUUGCACUCUUUAUGAUCUUGAUGGAGCACUUCGGUACCACAACUGAAUAGUCUGGAGUUUGCUUCAAUUAUAUGCUUCUGGCUUAGAGAAUGACAAAUUCCUAAC